rnacentral:rRNA from 1 species
GCUAGUAGUGAUAGCAAGUUAAAAUAAUGGACUAGUUCCUAAUGGUUCACAGGAGUUAAGCAACAUUGCGCGUAGUUGGUAUCCGGACGGGUGACCAUCUGGGCAAUUGCGUGCUGCUGUCU